rnacentral:rRNA from 1 species
CCUACGGGUGGCAGCAGUGGGGGAUAUUGCACAAUGGGGGAAACCCUGAUGCAGCGACGCCGCGUGGGUGAAGAAGUAUUUCGGUAUGUAAAGCCCUAUCAGCAGGGAAGAAAGAAGACGGUACCUGACUAAGAAGCCCCGGCUAACUACGUGCCAGCAGCCGCGGUAAUACGUAGGGGGCGAGCGUUAUCCGGAUUCACUGGGUGUAAAGGGAGCGUAGACGGCCGGGCAAGCCAGGAGUGAAAGCCCGGGGCCCAACCCCGGGACUGCUCUUGGAACUGUGCGGCUGGAGUGCGGGAGGGGCAGGCGGAAUGCCUGGUGUAGCGGUGAAAUGCGUAGAUAUCAGGAGGAACACCGGCGGCGAAGGCGGCCUGCUGGACCGCGACUGACGUUGAGGCUCAAAAGCGUGGGGAGCGAACAGGAUUAGAUACCCUUGUAGUC